rnacentral:rRNA from 1 species
UACAGAGGGUGCAAGCGUUAAUCGGAUUUACUGGGCGUAAAGCGUGCGUAGACGGUUACAUAAGUCGGGUGUGAAAGCCCCGGGCUCAACCUGGGAAUUGCAUUCGAGACUGCGUAGCUAGGGUGCGGAAGAGGGAAGCGGAAUUUCCGGUGUAGCGGUGAAAUGCGUAGAUAUCGGAAGGAACACCAGUGGCGAAAGCGGCUUCCUGGUCCAGCACCGACGUUCAGGCACGAAAGCGUGGGGAGCAAACAGG